rnacentral:rRNA from 1 species
GGGCUCACACAAGCGGUGGAGGAUGUGGCUUAAUUCGAGGAUACGCGAAGAACCUUAUCCUGGUCUUGACAUGUUUAGGAACCUCGGUGAAAGUCGAGGGUGCCCUUCGGGGAGCCUUUACACAGGUGCUGCAUGGCCGUCGUCAGCUCGUGUCGUGAGAUGUCGGGUUAAGUCCCUUAACGAGCGAAACCCCUAUCCUUAGUUGCCAGCAAUUCGGUUGGGGACUCUAGGGAGACUGCCGGUGUUAAACCGGAGGAAGGUGGGGACGACGUCAGGUCAUCAUGGCCCUUACGGGUUGGGCUACACACGUGCUACAAUGGUAGUGACAAUGGGUUAAUCCCAAAAAGCUAUCUCAGUUCGGAUUGUCGUCUGCAACUCGACGGCAUGAAGUCGGAAUCGCUAGUAAUCG